AUUUCGUGAUGAGGUCAUUUCCGUAAUAAUUCUUUGUACCUUUCCCAUGUCCCAUACAAGGACUCAUCAUCCAUUUUUUGGAAAGCAGUGAUCUCAUUCCUCAACUU
rfam:Gossypium hirsutum cultivar TM-1 chromosome 23, whole genome shotgun sequence